rnacentral:lncRNA from 1 species
UGGAAGCUUUGUUCUUUACCUCUUUGCAGUAACUCUUGCUUCUGCUCACUGUUUGGGUCCACACUGCCUUUAUGAGCUGUAACACUCACCGCGAAGGUGUACAGCUUCACUGCUGAAGCCCCCGAAACCACGAACCCACCAGGAAGAACGAAUAACUCCAGACGCGCCCCCUUAAGAGCUGUAACACUCACCGCGAAGGUCUGCAGCUUCACUCCUGAGCCAGCGAGACCACGAACCCACCAGAAGGAACAAACUCCGAACACAUCAGAACAUGAGAAGGAACAAACUCCGGACACGCGGCCUUUAAGAACUGUAACACUCACUGCGAGGGUCGGCGGCUUCAUUCUUGAAGUCAGUGAGACCAAGUACCCACCAAUUCCGGACACACUAUUAGCUAGCUAACUCCUAUUUAUCCUCCCUUAAAUAUCACCUUCUGAGAGAAGCCUACCCUGACCGUCCACACCUGGGUCCAAGAGCACUCAAACUUCUUUUUUACAGCAUUUGGCACACUUGACAGAGAAAUAGCUAAUGGUGUACGCACUUAGUAUUGUUUGUCUCCCCCUGCUGGAAUAGAAGCUCCUUGGUGGCAGAGACGCGUCUAUAGAGCUUUACUGCUGUACCACCAGUAUCUAACGCGGUUCCUAACAGUUCCUAACGGUACCUCAGAAAGUGCCCCGACUGAAAUACUGCCAGAGACUGGAUCUCUGUGAAGCUCUCAUGGGAACUGUACCGGGAAAGAGAAGAUUCUCUUUGCUAGAACCAGAAGGAGAACACAUUCCCCAAAGGGAGACCAGCCCACAACCUCCCCAUUGCUCUCCUAGAUAAAUUGCAGAUGCACGUGUUCUCUCUAUUAUCAAAACAGCCCAUGAACAUCUUGCAACUUGCAGCCC